GGGUUGUGAGGUUAAGCGACUAAGCGUACACGGUGGAUGCCCUGGCAGUCAGAGGCGAUGAAGGACGUGCUAAUCUGCGAUAAGCGCCGGUAAGGUGAUAUGAACCGUUAUAACCGGCGAUUUCCGAAUGGGGAAACCCAGUGUGAUUCGUCACACUAUCAUUAACUGAAUCCAUAGGUUAAUGAGGCGAACCGGGGGAACUGAAACAUCUAAGUACCCCGAGGAAAAGAAAUCAACCGAGAUUCCCCCAGUAGCGGCGAGCGAACGGGGAGGAGCCCAGAGCCUGAAUCAGCAUGUGUGUUAGUGGAAGCGUCUGGAAAGGCGCGCGAUACAGGGUGACAGCCCCGUACACAAAAGCGCAUGUGCUGUGAGCUCGAUGAGUAGGGCGGGACACGUGGUAUCCUGUCUGAAUAUGGGGGGACCAUCCUCCAAGGCUAAAUACUCCUGACUGACCGAUAGUGAACCAGUACCGUGAGGGAAAGGCGAAAAGAACCCCGGCGAGGGGAGUGAAAAAGAACCUGAAACCGUGUACGUACAAGCAGUGGGAGCACAGGUUUACCUGUGUGACUGCGUACCUUUUGUAUAAUGGGUCAGCGACUUAUAUUCUGUAGCAAGGUUAACCGUAUAGGGGAGCCGGAGGGAAACCGAGUCUUAACCGGGCGUUAAGUUGCAGGGUAUAGACCCGAAACCCGGUGAUCUAGCCAUGGGCAGGUUGAAGGUUGGGUAACACUAACUGGAGGACCGAACCGACUAAUGUUGAAAAAUUAGCGGAUGACCUGUGGCUGGGGGUGAAAGGCCAAUCAAACCGGGAGAUAGCUGGUUCUCCCCGAAAGCUAUUUAGGUAGCGCCUCGUGAAUUCAUCUCCGGGGGUAGAGCACUGUUUCGGCUAGGGGGCCAUCCCGGCUUACCAACCCGAUGCAAACUGCGAAUACCGGAGAAUGUUAUCACGGGAGACACACGGCGGGUGCUAACGUCCGUCGUGAAGAGGGAAACAACCCAGACCGCCAGCUAAGGUCCCAAAGUCAUGGUUAAGUGGGAAACGAUGUGGGAAGGCCCAGACAGCCAGGAUGUUGGCUUAGAAGCAGCCAUCAUUUAAAGAAAGCGUAAUAGCUCACUGGUCGAGUCGGCCUGCGCGGAAGAUGUAACGGGGCUAAACCAUGCACCGAAGCUGCGGCAGCGACACUCAGGUGUUGUUGGGUAGGGGAGCGUUCUGUAAGCCUGUGAAGGUGGCCUGUGAGGGUUGCUGGAGGUAUCAGAAGUGCGAAUGCUGACAUAAGUAACGAUAAAGCGGGUGAAAAGCCCGCUCGCCGGAAGACCAAGGGUUCCUGUCCAACGUUAAUCGGGGCAGGGUGAGUCGACCCCUAAGGCGAGGCCGAAAGGCGUAGUCGAUGGGAAACGGGUUAAUAUUCCCGUACU
rnacentral:rRNA from 7 species